UAGGGAAUCUUCGGCAAUGGACGGAAGUCUGACCGAGCAACGCCGCGUGAGUGAAGGAGGUUUUCGGAUCGUAAAGCUCUGUUGUAAGAGAAGAACGAGUGUGAGAGUGGAAAGUUCACACUGUGACGGUAUCUUACCAGAAAGGGACGGCUAACUACGUGCCAGCAGCCGCGGUAAUACGUAGGUCCCGAGCGUUGUCCGGAUUUAUUGGGCGUAAAGCGAGCGCAGGCGGUUAGAUAAGUCUGAAGUUAAAGGCUGUGGCUUAACCAUAGUACGCUUUGGAAACUGUUUAACUUGAGUGCAAGAGGGGAGAGUGGAAUUCCAUGUGUAGCGGUGAAAUGCGUAGAUAUAUGGAGGAACACCGGUGGCGAAAGCGGCUCUCUGGCUUGUAACUGACGCUGAGGCUCGAAAGCGUGGGGAGCAAACAGGAUUAGAUACCCUGGUAGUCCACGCCGUAAACGAUGAGUGCUAGGUGUUAGACCCUUUCCGGGGUUUAGUGCCGCAGCUAACGCAUUAAGCACUCCGCCUGGGGAGUACGACCGCAAGGUU
rnacentral:rRNA from 1 species